rnacentral:rRNA from 1 species
GCCGAGGGGCAGCGGGGAUAAAGCUUGCUUUAUCUGCCGGCGACCGGCGCACGGGUGAGUAACACGUAUGCAACCUGCCCUUUGCAGGGGGAUAACCGGAAGAAAUUCCGACUAAUACCGCAUAAUACUUUCCGGAGACAUCUCCGGGGAUUCAAAGGAAGCAAUUCCGGCAAAGGAUGGGCAUGCGUCGCAUUAGCUAGUCGGCGGGGUAACGGCCCACCGAGGCGACGAUGCGUAGGGGUUCUGAGAGGAAGGCCCCCCACACUGGUACUGAGACACGGACCAGACUCCUACGGGAGGCAGCAGUGAGGAAUAUUGGUCAAUGGGCGAAAGCCUGAACCAGCCAAGUCGCGUGAGGGAAGACGGUCCUAUGGAUUGUAAACCUCUUUUGCCGGGGAGCAAUGCAGGCCUUGCGAGGCCUGAGGGAGAGUACCCGGAGAAAAAGCAUCGGCUAACUCCGUGCCAGCAGCCGCGGUAAUACGGAGGAUGCGAGCGUUAUCCGGAUUUAUUGGGUUUAAAGGGUGCGUAGGCGGGCUGUUAAGUCAGCGGUCAAAUGUCGGGGCUCAACCCCGGCCUGCCGUUGAAACUGGCGGUCUUGAGUGAGCGAGAAGUAUGCGGAAUGCGUGGUGUAGCGGUGAAAUGCAUAGAUAUCACGCAGAACUCCGAUUGCGAAGGCAGCAUACCGGCGCUCAACUGACGCUGAGGCACGAAAGCGUGGGGAUCGAACAGGAUUAGAUACCCUGGUAGUCCACGCAGUAAACGAUGAAUGCUACCUGUCCGGAGCU